UGAUAUGAACCGUUAUAACCGGCGAUUUCCGAAUGGGGAAACCCAGUGUGAUUCGUCACACUAUCAUUAACUGAAUCCAUAGGUUAAUGAGGCGAACCGGGGGAACUGAAACAUCUAAGUACCCCGAGGAAAAGAAAUCAACCGAGAUUCCCCCAGUAGCGGCGAGCGAACGGGGAGCAGCCCAGAGCCUGAAUCAGUGUGUGUGUUAGUGGAAGCGUCUGGAAAGGCGCGCGAUACAGGGUGACAGCCCCGUACACAAAAAUGCACAUGCUGUGAGCUCGAUGAGUAGGGCGGGACACGUGGUAUCCUGUCUGAAUAUGGGGGGACCAUCCUCCAAGGCUAAAUACUCCUGACUGACCGAUAGUGAACCAGUACCGUGAGGGAAAGGCGAAAAGAACCCCGGCGAGGGGAGUGAAAAAGAACCUGAAACCGUGUACGUACAAGCAGUGGGAGCACGCUUAGGCGUGUGACUGCGUACCUUUUGUAUAAUGGGUCAGCGACUUAUAUUCUGUAGCAAGGUUAACCGAAUAGGGGAGCCGAAGGGAAACCGAGUCUUAACUGGGCGUUAAGUUGCAGGGUAUAGACCCGAAACCCGGUGAUCUAGCCAUGGGCAGGUUGAAGGUUGGGUAACACUAACUGGAGGACCGAACCGACUAAUGUUGAAAAAUUAGCGGAUGACUUGUGGCUGGGGGUGAAAGGCCAAUCAAACCGGGAGAUAGCUGGUUCUCCCCGAAAGCUAUUUAGGUAGCGCCUCGUGAAUUCAUCUCCGGGGGUAGAGCACUGUUUCGGCAAGGGGGUCAUCCCGACUUACCAACCCGAUGCAAACUGCGAAUACCGGAGAAUGUUAUCACGGGAGACACACGGCGGGUGCUAACGUCCGUCGUGAAGAGGGAAACAACCCAGACCGCCAGCUAAGGUCCCAAAGUCAUGGUUAAGUGGGAAACGAUGUGGGAAGGCCCAGACAGCCAGGAUGUUGGCUUAGAAGCAGCCAUCAUUUAAAGAAAGCGUAAUAGCUCACUGGUCGAGUCGGCCUGCGCGGAAGAUGUAACGGGGCUAAACCAUGCACCGAAGCUGCGGCAGCGACACUAUGUGUUGUUGGGUAGGGGAGCGUUCUGUAAGCCUGUGAAGGUGUACUGUGAGGUAUGCUGGAGGUAUCAGAAGUGCGAAUGCUGACAUAAGUAACGAUAAAGCGGGUGAAAAGCCCGCUCGCCGGAAGACCAAGGGUUCCUGUCCAACGUUAAUCGGGGCAGGGUGAGUCGACCCCUAAGGCGAGGCCGAAAGGCGUAGUCGAUGGGAAACAGGUUAAUAUUCCUGUACUUGGUGUUACUGCGAAGGGGGGACGGAGAAGGCUAUGUUGGCCGGGCGACGGUUGUCCCGGUUUAAGCGUGUAGGCUGGUUUUCCAGGCAAAUCCGGAAAAUCAAGGCUGAGGCGUGAUGACGAGGCACUACGGUGCUGAAGCAACAAAUGCCCUGCUUCCAGGAAAAGCCUCUAAGCAUCAGGUAACAUCAAAUCGUACCCCAAACCGACACAGGUG
rnacentral:rRNA from 1 species